UUGGGACCAAAGUCAAGAAUUCUUGGCGCGGCCAAAGAUGGACAGCCUGUGAAGUGGCAGUAGGUGUAGAGCAGGCAGGUUUGGGACCAAGAUCUGGAGGUGGGAAGUAUUUGGGAAUCCCUGACAAAAGGCCUGCCCAGAAACAUCACAUUUUAUUUUAUUUUGGUAUUUUUUCUUGACCCUGCCACUGGCCUUGAGUUUAGGGCUCCGUGUGGCCCCCAGUGCUUCCACAUGUGCUGCAACAUCACUGAACUUAUACCACAGUUGUUUGCUGAAUGAACACCACGCCUGGUCCCACUGGUUCCAUUUUUAGAAGUGUCCCCUGAAUGCCUAAGUAGACCGUGAGCUUCUAGAGUUGGGGGUUGGGGUGUCCCCGUUUCAGAACCAGACUUGGCUGAGUAAAGACCCACAGGCUGACUUAGGCUGGGGAAUAAAGUUGCCAUACCCUAACAUCAAGACAAGAAUAAAAACAUUGUAAAUUAACUAUACUUCAAUUUUUUUAAAAAAGGGUUUAAGUAAAACAGUAAAAAAAAAAAAAGAAUAAGACGUUUUUGGCCAUUACUCCUCGCAAUACACUAGCCUCCUCCAGCACCAGCCAAACACCCAAGUCCAUGCUGCCCAGCCAAAGUCAGCCAAUCAGCAACGGCUUCAGUCCCGCGCCCACGCUGCUCACGCGAGGGUUCAGAAUCCACAAUGGCCGUGCCUGUGUAGCCGUCGUUUCCGCAGCUGAAGAGGAGCCUUUCCCUAAACAGCCACCUCCACUUUACCUUGGUUUGAGUGCUUGCCGGUGCCAGGCUCCGGGUCCUGAGUGGCUCUUUGUUGUCUCAAAGACCAAACCCUGUCCAGUCAGACUUGCACAGCUCUCUGUCUUCAUUGGAACUGACUCAUUGGAAGAGACCCUGGUGCUGGGAAAUAUUGAAGGCAAGAGGAGAAGGGGAUGACAGAGGAUGAGAUGGUUGGAUGGCAUCACCAACUCGAUGGACAUGAGUUUGAGCAAGCUCCAGGAGUUGGUGAUGGACAGGGAGGCCUGGCAUGCUGCAGUCCACAGGGUCGCAAAGAGUCAGACACGACUGAGCAACUGAACUGAACUGUCUUAAUUUUCUCAUGCAGUCCUCAAAGCAGCUCUGGGCCGUGUCUCAUCACCCACUUCUACACGUGUCCAACUCUGCAAUUCAGGAUCAGCAAUUGCCCUGAAUCUCCCAGCUCCUGAGUAGUACUGAGAGGACUUGAACCCAGGAUUCUGAUAACAAUUCACUGGCUCUUUUUUUUUGUUUUUUCCACCAUUCAGCAUAUUCCUAGGGAGAUGCCAUUUUCUCAAAUGUUUGGGCAAUGGCAGCUUGGUUUAAGUGCGGAAUAAGUGUGUGGCCUCACAAUUAGGAGAUAAAGGAGACCACUGUGGAGAAGACCACUGUUUGAAAAAAAACAUAAAAAGGCUUUACUAUCGUGGUGAUAUGCUUACCACACCCGCUUCUAUACCCAUGGACUCACUUUUCCUGCCUCUUGUCUGCAAGUUCCUCCUCCUCCCCUGUCUCUUCUCCUCCUACUUCUCUUUUCUUCACUUUUUUUUUUUCAUCUUUCUCAAUGAUCCCUCUCCCUGAAAGGGAGAAAAGGCUUUCCAGAGCCCUCUGCUUAUAUAAUUUCUUCCUCCAUUAAUCUGUUGUCAAUUAGUUAAUAAUUAAUUACUAAGUGACCUACUAAUACUGGUUUGUUAGUACUCCUCUGAUGGCCUUUAUCAUAUUCUGCCUUGUUGUCAUCAUUACUUGGGGACUUGUCUUAGGGCAUCUGUUCAAUUCUCGGCUGGAUGAGAACAGUUUCUGGGUUGGUCUCACCCAGCCUGAACUUCUCGUGUGGUAUCAGAGGCUGGGCCAGAGCAAGACACUGAUUUAGCUCAAAAGUGCUGACAGCAGCCCAAUUCCCUCACCAGCAAAUGUCAAGAGGAAAUAUCUGCCAUGGAGAGGCCCCAAGAGUGUGAGCCAGAGGCAUGUAUUUUUGUCCAAAGGAGGGAUGUUCCUAGUCUGCUCCAGCAAGAAAGGAAGAGACUGGCUGGCGUGAAACCCAAGGAGGAAGCUGACUUAGAGGCCACCAAGGCUAGUGCAUUGUAAUAGGAUAAGCUGAAGCUGGAAUUAUUAACAGGAAUUUGGUUGGAGCAGUAUAUGAAUCAAACGAAACUUCCUGAAAGUCGAUUAUGAAGAGAUGUGUGCUUCUUACCUUUAGAAUUACUUACUAUGCAUUCAUAAUGGCAACACCAACAUUUAUAAGGGAAAAAAUGUAUCCAGAAUCCUGUUACCCAGCAAGUCAGCUUUUUCCAGUUUUUUCUACACCCAGGUAAUUCACUGAUGCAUAGGUUAAAUAAAUGCUUACUGUUGCAGUGAUUCUCA
ensembl:lncRNA